UUCACCUGGACAGGUAAGACCUGGCAGAGGGUGUAACGUUAAACCAUUCAGAGACGAGGUGGAGGGGAGGGAGCGGAGAGGUAAAUGACUCAGUAAAGAGGACUUUGUCCCAGUCACCGAGCCCGCCGAUUGGCCGCUGGCCUUCAAGUGGAGAAACUGUAUCUGGUUGCCGGUCUCGGGGGAAUUCUCAAACCAAAAGUGAGGAAGGCUGCUCCGGUGUGAGUUCAGAGCCAGCUCACCUCUAAUAGGCCAAGGUGAUCAGGAAGUGGCAGAGCAGAGGGGCGGGGGCCGCAGAAAAGGUAAACAAGAGAGCUGCCCAAACCUGCUCCGGGAGUUCAGAAGAAGCUGGAAUUCCCUAUUAAAAGGAGUGGACAUAGAGCUGGAAACAAAGUGUGACAGAUGUGGUUUUCCUCUUGACUUUUCCUGCCACACACAGCUCCUUAAACUCCGACGCUGAGCCUCAGGUGCUGCAGGCAAACGCGACUGCAGACACAAAAUGACGGCUCUUCACAUGAGUCACUCAGAAAGCAGAGGAGGAUUAAAAUUGAAGUGCCAACUACUGUAAGCUUCACAAAGUACGACGUCCCGCAUGAUUCGGGGAACUGAUGCUCUUUCCUCAGACUGUCCCUCUCUCGCCAGCAUCUCCCUGACAAGUAGAAGUGUAAUCAGACAUCUCAGGUCCGUCUGGCACGGCUGGUGCUCCGCCCCAUCUGCCGGCAGUGCCGUGCCGCACAGUGACAGGACAAGCUGCUAAAGGAACAUUUGCUGUUGUCAGAAUUCCUGGACCUGUCAUAUAACACUCCUGGUGAUCCGUCAGUACCAUGGCACUGUGCCGGGCUUUGCAACUAAACAGACCAUGGACUCACAGAGAGGAGGUUCCUGUCAAUCAUCACAGAUAAAUACAUCACAGAGGAUUUUGCUGAAUUGACCUCUGCUUGUUACCUUCAUUGAUGUUUUCAUUGCUGUUUGUCUGACUGUAAGCUGGAUCACACAAAAACUACUGAACCGAUUUUCUUGAAACUUGGUGGGAGGUAGGGGUAUGGGCCAAGGAAGAAUCUCAUAACCUAAGGAGUGGAUUCCAUCAAGAGGAUCCAGGAAUCUCUGUGACAUUUUAGUGAUUUUUUUUGUGUGAAAUAAUGUAUAGAUUUUAAUGUGGAAAAAGGCAGGUAUAUGUAAAAUACAAAUACCCAUGAAAAGGUGCAAUUUAAAUAAUAGUGUGUUUUUUCCUGUGUGAACUCUGAACGUCUUUUAUGGCCUUUCCUUUGCCAAACCGUCUGGUUUAUUUGGAAUGCUCCACUUUCCCUUCCUAUGUAGCAAACUCUUUUGCUCUAGUUGAAACUUUCUUGAACCCAGGUUUUAUGACUGAGUCAGGCUUUGGAGUCUGUGCCUUGUGGUUUUCAGCUGUGUGAACUCACUGAUUGACCACUUUGUGUUGUUCAUGGAAGUGAGGUAAAAUUGCUCCAUUAGCAGUUCUGGAAAUGGUGACCCUGCUGUGGUUACUUUUAUUUCUGCUUUAGAAAUGCUUGCAAUUCAAUAAAAGUAGAGA